CACAGGUGCUGCAUGGCUGUCGUCAGCUCGUGCCGUGAGAUGUUGGGUUAAGUCCCGCAACGAGCGCAACCCUUAUCAUUAGUUGCUACGCAAGGGCACUCUAAUGAGACUGCCGGUGACAAACCGGAGGAAGGUGGGGAUGACGUCAAGUCCUCAUGGCCCUUAUAGGUGGGGCUACACACGUCAUACAAUGGAUGGUACAAAGGGUCGCCAACCCGCGAGGGGGAGCCAAUCCCAUAAAGCCAUUCGUAGUCCGGAUCGCAGUCUGCAACUCGACUGCGUGAAGUCGGAAUCGCUAGUAAUCGUGGAUCAGAAUGUCACGGUGAAUACGUUCCCGGGUCUU
rnacentral:rRNA from 1 species